UUCCAGCGGCAGCCAGCAGCUCGGAGCGGCCGGGGAAGGAAGAAGGACGGGAGCAGCUCUCCCUCCACAGCUGGGGAUCGCGGGGUGACGUUCUGUGGGGCUGUGCUGCCAGCAAUGCUUGCUGAGCCCGUGCGAGGAGAUCUCACCAGGACUGCUGGCGUCAUCCCAGAGAGACCCUUUGCAGACUGACUCCACAUCCUCAGAGCUGAUCUGACUGGGGCCUACCAAAUCCAUUAACGACGUCGAAAGUAGCCUACUUUAAGAGAAAAUAUGCAGAAGAAGAACAUCUACAUCAAGAUUACCAUGAGUACUGUCCAAAACACCUGAUACUCCCUGAGGACCGGACUUGUAUUCUAAAACUUUCUCUCCAGAAACUCCGAUUCCUGGAAGAUCCCGAAGCCUAUCUCCGUAGGUCGGUGUUAAUUAACAAUCUGUUGAGGAAGAUUCACCUAGAGACAGAGAGGGAGAGCUAUGAAUACUUUAAGGAGGCUCCGUGCUAUAGGACUGCUUACUCUGACUCACGAAAACGGCUGAAGUUUAUGGUACACGAGUGCUGUUCUCAGUCACUCUAUUAUGAAGAGCUGCAUUCGUAUCGCAUUGUGCCUUAUUCUGCAGAGAACGCCGUUUAUGGGAUGGGCUACACAAGCAGCCACCUGGAGCAAAAUUCUCAAUUGCUUAUUUAUAAAAUGAAUUAAAGUAGCUGUUAGACCCACCGAUGUUUGUUUCUGAAUGCUUGAACUGCUUGCUGAGGCGUUAGGAUGAGGCACUGAUUGCAGAGAUGCCCGUGGUGAGGUGGGAGCGGAGCUUGGACUCAGCAGCUUGGGGUGAGUUGGGUGCUUCGGGCACCGCUCCGCAGCCCCAUGUUAACCAAUUGGCCACGAAGCACUGUGCACACACAGGGCAGGUGUGAUGCUGAGGCCUCACACACAUGCAAUGUGUUGUGUGGAAGCAAAGCCACGUUGCAGUUCUCUGUGUGUAGAUACAGAUGCUGGGAAUCACUUUGUCGUUCAGUUGUGCCACCCUUAGCAGAAGGGGAGCCCCAGGUAGCGGAGCAGGCCGGCAGUGAGGAGCCAGGUGCCAGUUAUUGACUGCGAAGGGACAGAUAAGAAGUUUCUCUGAGGAAAUGCUUUGUACAUGAAGGGGUCAGUGCCGAAGGAAUGGCCUUUGCUUAGGAUGCUCAGAGACUAACUCGCUUGCUACUUAAACUACUAUGAGAUUUGCAAGGUUAUUACUAUUAUUUUUAGAAUAA